rnacentral:lncRNA from 1 species
AGGGUUCUAGGCAGCAAGACAAGGAGCUGAGAGGCCCAAGGCAGCAUCUGUCGCUCCGUUGAACAUCCUAGAGCCUCCUCAGAGUUCCCGGCUGGGGCUGUGAAGAGCAAAGGCUGUGAGGAAAGUGAUGGCGCUGCCCUCAGCUUCUCAGAGGACGGAGCGCUGCUAAAGCCAUAGCAAAUCUUUGGUGUAAGCAGUAGUGAAGGAGAAAAACUGAGGAACAGGAGCAAGGUGAAGUGGUGGAUGGAGCAGGAAACCCAGGAGUUAGCCCUGACCUGGUGCUCAAGGAAGAAUGGGAUUCAAGGGUAGGCCUGGCAGGUCCGUGAGCAGUUGGCAAGGACACAGUGACCUUUGGGAAGGCUUCAGGGAGCUCUCUCGGAGAUUGUAAGAGGAGGUGAGAUGCAUUAGCCCUUCAAGGAGAUGGAGGAAGAGAGAAGGAAAGAGUUGAGAGUGGGAGGCCACCAAGUGCUUUUAUUUGACCAGGAGAAAACAUGGGCCUGUUUGUGAGCUACGUGGAGGAUCUGAAAACGGACAGCUCCAUGUGCCCUGGGUGGAUGAAGGAUGAGAAGCAGAUGGAACGAGCGCGUUCUCUGGGGCUGGAAGCAGUUGUGUCCAGAGUGCAGCCCCACGUGGAGAUGAGGAGGCGGGCUUAAAGGUGGCUGAAGUGCCUCUGUGGUAGACAAAUUUGUCCAGGCUCAGCAGGCAGAGUAGCUUGCAGCAUUGGUCCAUGUAUCUUCAAUCCAGAGCCCAGUUGAAGAAUUGGGCUUUCAUGACCUUCAUUAUUAAGGCCCAAACUGCAAGAAGAAGGAACUGCAAAUUGAGGUCUUGUAAAACCUUAAUUCUGAACUG